rnacentral:rRNA from 1 species
UACGAAGGGGGCUAGCGUUGUUCGGAAUUACUGGGCGUAAAGCGCGCGCAGGCGGUCUUCCAAGUCAGUGGUGAAAGCCCGGAGCUCAACUCCGGAACUGCCAUUGAAACUGUUAGACUUGAGGAUGAGAGAGGUGAGUGGAAUUCCCAGUGUAGAGGUGAAAUUCGUAGAUAUUGGGAAGAACACCGAUGGCGAAGGCAGCCAUCUGGACCGACACUGACGCUGAGGCGCGAAAGCGUGGGGAGCAAACAGG